rnacentral:lncRNA from 1 species
CGCCUGUCCUUCUUGAUCUUGGUGGAUGAGAUCUUCCGCAAUAAAUUUCCUUUCCCUCGCUACAGCACCGGUAAACCUUGAAAGAAAGAAAGAAUCACGCAGUAUCUUGUGUCCAACGCGCCUAGCAUAAACAACGCGUCCACAUUCCUCCUCCCAGACCCUACAAAUCUCUGCAGAAACAACGGGAAAAACAGAGUUAGCCGAGAUUUUUUUUAAAGGCGUCGGAGCAGGGGUCGAUCGACACCGCGCAUCUUUUUCUAACGCAAGUGGGGAGGCAACGGAGAGGCCGGACCGGCGACCACUUGCUCGCUCCGGUCUGCGCUCGUGCUUGCGCUUGCGGGGAGGAAUCUUGUAACAAGAUCUCGCAGCCUUGUGCCGGGACGAAGAGAGAUACUCCUGCUA